rnacentral:rRNA from 1 species
UCAGGACGAACGCUGGCGGCACGCUUAACACAUGCAAGUCGAACGAGAGAAGAGAAGCUUGCUUUUCUGAUCUAGUGGCGGACGGGUGAGUAACACGUGAGCAAUCUGCCUUUCAGAGGGGGAUACCGAUUGGAAACGAUCGUUAAUACCGCAUAAUAUAAUUGAACCGCAUGAUUUGAUUAUCAAAGAUUUAUCGCUGAAAGAUGAGCUCGCGUCUGAUUAGCUAGUUGGUAAGGUAACGGCUUACCAAGGCGACGAUCAGUAGCCGGACUGAGAGGUUGAUCGGCCACAUUGGGACUGAGACACGGCCCAGACUCCUACGGGAGGCAGCAGUGGGGAAUAUUGCACAAUGGAGGAAACUCUGAUGCAGCGAUGCCGCGUGAGGGAAGAAGGUUUUAGGAUUGUAAACCUCUGUCUUCAGGGACGAAAAAAGACGGUACCUGAGGAGGAAGCUCCGGCUAACUACGUGCCAGCAGCCGCGGUAAUACGUAGGGAGCGAGCGUUGUCCGGAAUUACUGGGUGGUAAAGGGAGCGUAAGCGGGAUCGCAAGUCAGAUGUGAAAACUAUGGGCUUAACCCAUAAACUGCAUUUGAAACUGUGGUUCUUGAGUGAAGUAGAGGUAAGCGGAAUUCCUAGUGGUAGCGGUGAAAUGCGUAGAUAUUAGGAGGAACAUCAGUGGCGAAGGGGGGCUUACUGGGCUUUAACUGACGCUGAGGCUGGAAAGCGUGGGGAGCAAACAGGAUUAGAUACCCUGGUAGUCCACGCCGUAAACGAUGAUUACUAGGUGUGGGGGGACUGACCCCUUCCGUGCCGCAGCAAACGCAAUAAGUAAUCCACCUGGGGAGUACGACCGCAAGGUUGAAACUCAAAGGAAUUGACGGGGGCCCGCACAAGCAGUGGAGUAUGUGGAUCAAUUCGAAGCAACGCGAAGAACCUUACCAGGUCUUGACAUCGUAUGCAUAGCUCAGAGAUGAGUGAAAUCUCUUCGGAGACAUAUAGACAGGUGGUGCAUGGUUGUCGUCAGCUCGUGUCGUGAGAUGUUGGGUUAAGUCCCGCAACGAGCGCAACCCUUACUGUUAGUUGCUACGCAAGAGCACUCUAGCAGGACUGCCGUUGACAAAACGGAGGAAGGUGGGGAUGACGUCAAAUCAUCAUGCCCCUUAUGACCUGGGCCUCACACGUACUACAAUGGCUGUCAACAGAGGGAUGCAAAGCCGCGAGGUGGAGCGAACCCCUAAAAGCAGUCUUAGUUCGGAUUGUAGGCUGCAACCCGCCUACAUGAAGUCGGAAUUGCUAGUAAUCGCAGAUCAGCAUGCUGCGGUGAAUACGUUCCCGGGCCUUGUACACACCGCCCGUCACGCCAUGGGAGUCGGUAACACCCGAAGCCUGUAGUCUAACCGCAAGGAGGACGCAGUCGAAGGU